GCCCUCUUAGUUUAGUGGUUAGAAUUUUUCACUUGUAUUUACCUAGUAUUAGGUUGCCAAGAUGAAAGGGUCACCCGUUCAAACCGGGUAGAGGGCA